UACGUAGGGUGCAAGCGUUGUCCGGAAUUAUUGGGCGUAAAGAGCUCGUAGGCGGUUUGUCGCGUCUGCUGUGAAAACCCGAGGCUCAACCUCGGGCCUGCAGUGGGUACGGGCAGACUAGAGUGCGGUAGGGGAGAUUGGAAUUCCUGGUGUAGCGGUGGAAUGCGCAGAUAUCAGGAGGAACACCAAUGGCGAAGGCAGAUCUCUGGGCCUUACCUGACGCUCAGGUGCGAAAGCUAGGGGAGCGAACAGG
rnacentral:rRNA from 1 species